UGGGGAAUAUUGGACAAUGGGCGAAAGCCUGAUCCAGCCAUGCCGCGUGUGUGAAGAAGGUCUUCGGAUUGUAAAGCACUUUAAGUUGGGAGGAAGGGCAGUAAGCGAAUACCUUGCUGUUUUGACGUUACCGACAGAAUAAGCACCGGCUAACUCUGUGCCAGCAGCGGCGGUAAUACAGAGGGUGCAAGCGUUAAUCGGAAUUACUGGGCGUAAAGCGCGCGUAGGUGGUUCGUUAAGUUGAAUGUGAAAGCCCCGGGCUCAACCUGGGAACUGCAUCCAAAACUGGCGAGCUAGAGUAGGGCAGAGGGUGGUGGAAUUUCCUGUGUAGCGGUGAAAUGCGUAGAUAUAGGAAGGAACACCAGUGGCGGAGGCGACCACCUGGGCUCAUACUGACACUGAGGUGCGAAAGCGUGGGGAGCAAACAGG
rnacentral:rRNA from 1 species